AUUCAACUGACGAGUCCCAAAUAGAACGAAACGCGCGCCCUGGUU
rnacentral:hammerhead_ribozyme from 1 species